rnacentral:lncRNA from 1 species
GUAGUAAUUUUCAAGAGAACUAUUUUUAAAACCUGCAAAGUAUCUGAGAAUACCUAUCUUUAUAGUGAGGAGAAACAAAAUGCCUAAUAUCCUAAACCACUGGCCCACUCAGAUGCAUGCUGGUGCACGUCAUUCUAUCCUCCAUAUCUUCCAACUUUUCUUCCAGAACUCAUUUUCUCAUUAGCUACGUCCAGUCUACUCUUGAGAUCUAUUGAGCUUUAUAUUUUAAGAUGCUUUUGUUCAUUUCUUAAAUUUAGCUAUUUUAAAAAUUAGUCUUCUGGGUUUUCUUCCCCCAUAAUGUUCUGCUCUUGUUACACAGCGGCAUUCCAGAUUUUUCUGCAGUCCAGAAUAGAGCACCAUCACCAUAGCAUUUCAAGCUCAUUCUAAGUUCAUCUUAUCAAUGACAAGAGGAGACACGUUGUUCAUUCAUGUAUGAGGUAGUACUUUCCAAUUGAAGACAUUGCUUUGAAAGAGACUGCCAAAUUGGUUUCAUUGAGAAGGAAUGAAAGAAGCUAAAAGGCUUUCACCUGAGAUUUGACAAUAGCCAGAAAACCUCUGUUAAUAAUGAAUGUUUCCCUAUCUGCAAAGUGAAGAUAGGUUUCAAUGCUUCAACGCAUAGGAAGUCUGUAGAACAGUGCAAAGAAUAUACAGGCAUACCUUGAAGAUAUUACAGUUUUGGUUCCAGACCAUCAUAAAAAGGUGGAUAUUGCAAUAAGGCUGGAGUGCAGUGGUGUGAUCUCGGCUGACUGCAAC